GUAGGUGAACCUGCGGAAGGAUCAUUAACGAGAGAGGGUCCUCGGGGCCCGAACCUCCCACCCCUUGUGUAUCUACCUCUGUUGCUUUGGCGGGCCCGGGGAACACCCCCCGCCGGUUUCGGCUGGUGAGCGCCCGUCGGAGGACCUCCAAACUCGAUCUAUCAAUGACGUCUGAGUGACCAAACAAUGAAUUAAAACUUUCAACAACGGAUCUCUUGGUUCUGGCAUCGAUGAAGAACGCAGCAUCUGA
rnacentral:misc_RNA from 1 species